AUACGAAGGGGGCUAGCGUUGUUCGGAAUUACUGGGCGUAAAGCGCGCGUAGGCGGACUGAUCAGUUGGGGGUGAAAUCCCAGGGCUUAACCCUGGAACUGCCUCCAAUACUGUCAGUCUUGAGUUCGGGAGAGGUGAGUGGAAUUCCUAGUGUAGAGGUGAAAUUCGUAGAUAUUAGGAAGAACGCCAGUGGCGAAGGCGGCUCACUGGCCCGAUACUGACGCUGAGGCGCGAAAGCGUGGGGAGCAAACAGGAUUAGAAACCCUAGUAGUCC
rnacentral:rRNA from 1 species